rnacentral:rRNA from 1 species
CGAGCGGCGGACGGGUGAGUAAUACUUAGGAAUCUACCUAGUAGUGGGGGAUAGCACGGGGAAACUCGUAUUAAUACCGCAUACGACCUACGGGAGAAAGGGGGCAGUUUACUGCUCUCGCUAUUAGAUGAGCCUAAGUCGGAUUAGCUAGAUGGUGGGGUAAAGGCCUACCAUGGCGACGAUCUGUAGCUGGUCUGAGAGGAUGAUCAGCCACACCGGGACUGAGACACGGCCCGGACUCCUACGGGAGGCAGCAGUGGGGAAUAUUGGACAAUGGGGGAAACCCUGAUCCAGCCAUGCCGCGUGUGUGAAGAAGGCCUUUUGGUUGUAAAGCACUUUAAGCAGUGAAGAAGACUCCAUGGUUAAUACCCAUGGACGAUGACAUUAGCUGCAGAAUAAGCACCGGCUAACUCUGUGCCAGCAGCCGCGGUAAUACAGAGGGUGCAAGCGUUAAUCGGAAUUACUGGGCGUAAAGGGAGCGUAGGUGGCUCGAUAAGUCAGAUGUGAAAUCCCCGGGCUCAACCUGGGAACUGCAUCUGAUACUGUUGAGCUAGAGUAUGUGAGAGGAAGGUAGAAUUCCAGGUGUAGCGGUGAAAUGCGUAGAGAUCUGGAGGAAUACCGAUGGCGAAGGCAGCCUUCUGGCAUAAUACUGACACUGAGGCUCGAAAGCGUGGGUAGCAAACAGGAUUAGAUACCCUGGUAGUCCACGCCGUAAACGAUGUCUACUAGUCGUUGGGUCCCUUGAGGACUUAGUGACGCAGCUAACGCAAUAAGUAGACCGCCUGGGGAGUACGGCCGCAAGGUUAAAACUCAAAUGAAUUGACGGGGGCCCGCACAAGCGGUGGAGCAU